AAGCAUGGACAUUGGCUUCAGCCUUGUCUUCGCCAGCACUGAAUAGCAUCAACCUGUAAAACAUUUCCACCAUGUUUUAGGUGACAAGUUGAUUUCAUUUGUUGUUUCCACAUGAUUUUACAAAUCAACGUGCUUCAUCAGUGUCAGGAACAUGCUCAAAGCCGUCCAGUGUUGGCAGAAGAGGAGGCUUGGAAACGUUAAUGUAGAAGCAGAGACUGAAAGCUCUGGGAUCUCUUAGGCAUGAAGAAGCACGACCCCUUUGUUUUGGAGAUGAUUCCAAAAUAUGCACAAAGAUCAUCAAAACCAGCUGGGACUGAGAAGUAACCACAGCCACCUCUGCAAGGAUCAGGCCUACACAGCCUUCAAGCAGCUUCACCCAGGUGCAACCUUACAGCAACCAUGCCUUGGAAUAUAUGCCACAUACCUCUCACUCUCUGACCUGGGUCUUCUUGGACAUUGUGGUGUCGGAUGCUCCGGGGAACUGGGUGACCACUUAUGCUCUCGCAAUCAGAAAAUGAAGAGCAAGGGCUGCAAAGACUACCUUGAUCAAUGAAGGAAGGAAGCUAAGGGACUCAUGCUUUCUGCCUUUCAUGCCAUGGGUGACAGUUCUAAGGAGUGCAGUCAUGUGCCCCUGAUAGCAGGGACAGGUUCUGAGGAACGGGUCACUAGGCAAUUUUGUCAUUGUGCAUCGUAGAGUACACUUACACAAACCUAAGUGGCAGAGCUUACUACAUGCCUAGGCUACAUGGUAUAACCUAUGGCUCCAAGACUCUAAACCUGUACAGCACGUUGCUGUACUGAAUACUGCAGGCAACUGUCACACAGUAGUAUACCUUUUCUAUCGAAACAUAGAAAAUAUAUAUUAACAAUGUGGUAUAAAAUUUAAAAAUUAUAUUCCUAUAUAUGGAACUUAUCAUGAAUGGCGCUUACAGGAUUGGAAGCUGCUCAGGAUGAGUCAGUGAGUGGGUG
rnacentral:lncRNA from 13 species